rnacentral:lncRNA from 1 species
AGCAGGAGGCAUUUAAGCCUUAAGAUCAGCUUAUCCACCUCAAUACUAGUACUACCCAUAGGGAUCCAUGUAUUCGAAAAGGAGUUUCAUUGGAUUAUCCUAGUUACCACCCUUACGUCUAAUAUAUGCACUAUCCACCAUAUUACCCACCAUAUUUAUCCUACCCCAUGUACUCACCUCUACCAUAUUUCUAGAACCUAUUAAAUCCUAACCCAGGAGGUACACUACUACAAUAUGAUCCAUCUUUGACAGAGAUAGUCUGUCGAUU